rnacentral:misc_RNA from 1 species
CAACCCUCAAGCCCCCUCUUCCGGGGCUUGGUGUUGGGGACCGGCCCCGCCCUGUCGCAGGUUGCCGCCCCCGAAAUAAAGUGGCGGUCUCGCCGCAGCCUCCUCUGCGUAGUACCGGGAAGCCUCGCACUGGAGCGCGGCGCGGCCACGCCGUUAAACCCCCUCCCUGGGGCUUUGCAAAAAA